rnacentral:rRNA from 1 species
UACGAAGGGUGCAAGCGUUACUCGGAAUUACUGGGCGUAAAGAGCUCGUAGGUGGUUUGUCGCGUUGUUCGUGAAAACUCACAGCUUAACUGUGGGCGUGCGGGCGAUACGGGCAGACUGGAGUACUGCAGGGGAGACUGGAAUUCCUGGUGUAGCGGUGGAAUGCGCAGAUAUCAGGAGGAACACCGGUGGCGAAGGCGGGUCUCUGGGCAGUAACUGACGCUGAGGAGCGAAAGCGUGGGGAGCGAACAGG